rnacentral:snRNA from 1 species
GAAAUUCAACCAAGCGCGG